rnacentral:tRNA from 1 species
GCCUCAUUAGCACAGUGGUAGUUGCGCCUGCCUAGUAAGUCCUGAUAGGGAUGUCAGCAGGAGGUCGCUUGUUCGAUCCAGGCAUGAGGCA